CACCAAGAAGUUGAGUCAUACGAGUUAUGGUGAAAAGAUAGUUAAGCGUAUAGAGUGAUAGGUUGUCUGAUGUAAUGUAUAGAGGUAAAAUUUAAGUGCAGUUACAUAUUUUAAAAGCAACUUGGGAGUUGAAUCUAUGAAACCCUUGAGGGAAACUGGGAUUAGGUACCCCACUAUUCUUGGGCGUAAAUAGAGAGUGUCUACCAGAGUACUAUGAAUGAUAUAGAAUUUAAAACUCAAAGAACUUGGCGGUGUUUUAGACCAUUUAGGGGAACCUGUCUCGUAAUCGACAGUCCACGUUACACCUGACCUUUUUUUGUUCGCAGUUUGUAUACCGUUGUCGUCAGGUAACUUUUUAGAAAGUAGAAGUUGGCUAUAUAAAUAUAAUGGUUUAGUACGUCAAAUCAAGGUGCAGCUAAUAAAAGGGGGAGGAUGGGUUACAAUUAUAGAAUCAUAAUGACGGAUAUUUAUAUGAAAGUGUAAAUUAUGAAGGCGGACUUAAAAGUAAAUUGGAUUAUGCAAACAAGUUUGAAUGCGGCUCUGAAACGUGU
rnacentral:rRNA from 1 species